CACGUAGGGUGCGAGCGUUGUCCGGAAUUAUUGGGCGUAAAGAGUUCGUAGGCGGUGUGUCGCGUCGGCCGUGAAAACCUGCAGCUUAACUGUGGGCUUGCGGUCGAUACGGGCAUCACUGGAGUUCGGCAGGGGAGACUGGAAUUCCUGGUGUAGCGGUGAAAUGCGCAGAUAUCAGGAGGAACACCGGUGGCGAAGGCGGAUCGCUGGGCCGAUACUGACGCUGAGGAGCGAAAGCGUGGGGAGCAAACAGG
rnacentral:rRNA from 1 species